rnacentral:tRNA from 1 species
GGGUCCUUAGCUCAGCCAGGUAGAGUGCCGGGCUUUUAACACCGAUGAGCAGAAGAGAGUCAUGUGAUCAAUGAUCUGGAUACUCUGGUGAGGUGGAAGAAACCCGGAUGUCAGGGGUUCGAAUCCCCUAGGACUCA